rnacentral:rRNA from 1 species
AUUGAACGCUGGCGGCAGGCUUAACACAUGCAAGUCGAACGAGUGGCGGACGGGAGCGUAAUGCUUGGGAAUCUCGCUUCUGGAGGGGGAUAACUACGGGACACUGUAGCUCAUACCGCGUACCAUAGGAUGAGCCCAAGUGGGAUUAGGUAGUUGGUGAGGUAAAGGCUCACCCAGCCGGCGCUCACUAGCGGGUCGGAGAGGAUGACGAGCGCCACUGGAACGGAGAGACGGGCUAGACUCGGACGGGAGGCAGCAGUGGGGAAUAUUGUGCUAUGGGGGCAACCUGAGACUUGCAUGCCGAGUUAACGAAGAAGGUCGUCGGGUUGUAAAGUUCUUUCGGUCGGUAGGGGUUAACGACAGAAGAAGAACCGGCUAACUCCGGGCCAGCAGCCGCGGUAAUUC